CACUUCUAAGGAAGGCAGCAGGCGCGCAAAUUACCCAAUCCUGACUCAGGGAGGUAGUGACAAGAAAUAACAAUAAACCGGCUUAUGCCGGUUUAAUUGGAAUGAGUACAAUUUAAACAUCUUAACGAGGAACAAUUGGAGGGCAAGUCUGGUGCCAGCAGCCGCGGUAAUUCCAGCUCCAAUAGCGUAUACUAAAGUUGUUGCAGUUAAAAAGCUCGUAGUUGGAUUUCUGUGGGGACGGAGCGGCCGGCCGCACAUCGCGGUUCGAGCUAGCGCUUUCCCUACAUCCUGCCGCGAACCGUGCUACCAUUAGUUUGGUGGCGCCAGGGAUCGGCUCGAUUACUUUGAGAAAAAUAGGGUGUUCAAAGCAGGCCACAUGCCUUGAAUAAGUUAGCAUGGAAUAAUAACUAAGGACUUCGGUUCUAUUUUGUUGGUGUUCGGGACUGAAGUAAUGAUUGAUAGGGACAGUUGGGGCGGUCUGUAUUCCAAAGCGAGAGGUGAAAUUCUUAGACCUUCGGAAGACAAACAGCUGCGAAAGCGUUCCGCAAGGAUGUUCCCUUUGAUCAAGAACGAAAGUUGGGGGAUCGAAGACGAUCAGAUACCGUCGUAGUCUCAACUAUAAACUAUACCAGCUAGGGAUCGGCCAACGUUAUUUCAUACCGACUUGGUCGGCACCUUAUGAGAAAUCAAAGCAUCUGGGUUCCGGGGGGAGUAUGGUCGCAAGGCUGAAACUUAAAGGAAUUGACGGAAGGGCACCACCAGCCGUGGAGCCUGUGGCUUAAUUUGACUCAACACGGGAAAACUUACCAGGUCCAGACAUAGUAAGGAUUGACAGAUUGAUAGCUCUUUCUUGAUUCUGUGGGUGGUGGUGCAUGGCCGUUCUUAGUUGGUGGAGUGAUUUGUCUGGUUAAUUCCGUUAACGAACGAGACCCCAGCCUGCUAAAUAGCGCGCGUGAGCUUUGCUCGCGGCGAGCUUCUUAGAGGGACUCUGAUGCGCGAUAGCACAUGGAAGUUUGGGGCAAUAACAGGUCUGUGAUGCCCUUAGAUGUUCUGGGCCGCACACGGGCUACACUGGCGCCUGCAACGAGCAUAUCAGCUGGCCCGAGAGGGUCUUGGCUAAUCUUUUGAACCGGCGCCGUGCUUGGGAUUGACCUUUGCAAUUGUUGGUCAUGCAACGAGGAAUGCCUUGUAAACGCGAGUCAUCAGCUCGCAUUGAAUACGUCCCUGCCCUUUGUACACACCGCCCGUCGCUCCUACCGAUGAAUGUUCCGAUGAAAUUUUCGGAGAGCACCUGUGAACUUGGCUCUGCCUUGCGAACGGGAGGCUCAAAGUCACUUAAAUCUGAACAUUUC
rnacentral:rRNA from 1 species